CCAUCAGCUGACAGAGAGACACAGGAAGACAUUAGAGAAAAUAUUAAAAUAUGAUAUUAACCAUGGGGAUGUUGAAAUGAACUGUUUAUUGAUUUGUAAAUAUGAAUCAGAUUCCAAAUUUUAACAUGUUUCAACGCAUAGAAUGACUCACACUGUAUAUCCAAUAAUUCAGUUGUCCAUCCACUUAUAGUUGCUCUAAUAUACAGUUUUUAAUAGGGGUGUAAGAAAACCAAUAUGCCGAUAUAUUGCAAUAUUUUGUUCAUGAUACUGUAUCAAUAUUCUACAGCACACUGUAUUAAUAUUUAGGUGUUUUUUCUUUAUAAUUAUAAGCGACAUUGUUACUAAAUAUUAUUUAAUGUGGUUACAAUGCCUCACCACAAGAAGUUGCACUAGCUUUCAGACUUAUUUUCGUGAUUAUGCCCUCACUCUGAACCAAGAACCUGAUGAGAGAAUUACCAUUAGUGAGUCAGCUGAACUGCGUCAUUUUGUGGCACGGUCUAGUUAGUUUUUUACUUGUUAAGAACGGGUGUUCUAUAUUUUGUUGGAUGACACGAGCCGUUUCACCGUGUAAGCCCUCUGAGACCAAACUCUGGACCUGCGAUAGACAAACUUGACGUACCUCUGUAACAACACUGCCUCAAGGCUACGUGUGGUGGAGGAGGCCAGGGUGAGAAGAGAUGCCUGAUACACAGAGAGAGGUUGUGGGUGAGGUGGAUGCUUCAGAUGUUGAAGUUGGUACCAUCCACCUUCAAAGAUCAGCACACGACCAGAAGUUCCAGCCUUGUUCCUUCUUCACUCGCCGUCUAUCCCCUCUGAAACAGAACUAUGGAAUUAGCAACAGGAGCUGCUGGAAUUGGAACUAGUGGUGGAAUCAUUGGUUAGCGAGGGCAGAACUGUCAUUUGUAGUAAGAACCGAUCACAGAGACUUGGGCCAGAUGGCCUCUGUCUUCUUCAUUGUUUUCACCUUCCCGUGUCCUAUCACCCAGACCCUCCACCGCACCCCAGCCUUCUCUUUUCCUCCCCUGUCCAGUCUCCAGUAGAUGUCCUUAAUUCUGGUCUUUAUUAAUAAUCAUUAAUAACUGUGAUGUUAUACACUUUGAUAUUACAGUACAUACGUUAUUACUUUUAGCAAUUUCUUUGUUUUUGUAUAACAAAACCAUAUUUCCUGUUUUUGUCCAGUCUCCAGAAAAAGUCUCUU